GAAUAACGACAAAUUCAGAUUUACUAUGAUAUGACCACAAAUAGUCAGCUACCUACGCUAAGCAAAAUAGUUCCAAAACUUCGCAGUAACUCCAAAAUCAUAGUUCCCUAUCUAUUUUAAAAUUGACUGGCCAAUUUUGUACUAAAUUUAGCAAUCGUCUUUUAAAAUUGUAUGUAUAUUUUUGCUUUACGCGAUUUUAAUAUUACUACGCCAGCGGUCGAUCAUAGCCAAAGUACUUGCAUAAAUAUAGUACAAAUUACAUGUAGUCACAAGUUAAUUAAGUGUCAUAGAACUCAAAAAUUUAGCAAGUAAUGGAAUACGGAUUUCAGAUCAGCUAACUUUAAAGCUUAUAGGGCCUAAUGCUUCAUAAGUGUAAAUUUAAGAAAAACAAUGCAUGCGUAUGAAUACGAACUAUUUUCGCCCUAACGUCAUUUUACCGCAAUCGCCAUUGUUUACAAGUUCAUCCGUGAAAGAUUGAGAAGUUUAUAUAGAAGUUCCACGUGUUAAAACGAGUUGUUUGUGAAUAAAGGCUUGUUUGUUAGAUUUCAAUUGUGGCUCAGUUGGUUGUUUGCUGAGAAGCUGUGAAACAUAAUUAUACAGGCCAUUAAGGAGGUUUUUGUCAGAUUGAUGAAUGUGAAAUUAAGAGGACCCAUUUUGAGAAUGCUUUUUAUGAAUGGAAUCAAGAGAGAUAAAGUCUAAAAUGUGAUACUGUCAAUGUGACUAACCUUGAAGUAAACAGAUGACACAAUGUUUUUUCAAUGUCAUGGGCAUAUAAUGAAGAGAAAACAGAGAUGCUUGUUUGACAGAUACAGUAAUAGUAGGAGUUAUGAGGGAAGAUAGAUUGCAGUGAUAACUAUAUUGAGGCACCACUUCAUCACCAAGAACAUGAAAUGAAUUAUCAAUGUUUUCAAUGUGUUUGAACACCCAUUUUAAAUAAUACAGCUCAGAGUGAAUUUUUCAAAAUAAUUAAUUCUGUUUUCAAAGUUUUUUAUUUAGAUGUUAGUUGAUCUUGUCAAGUACUUUAUUUUUUUAGGGAUGGCAACAAUUACUAAAAUCAAUACUCGAGUACUCGGUCAUUUAGAGUAUUCGGUUACUGGGAUGAUUUCCAAUGAUCUUUAAAUUUUUAUCACACAAUAUCAACACCGUCUGCAUGCUACCUUCAUUUUCUAUUUUAAUUCAUAGAAUUUGUAGCUAUAAAUAGGAUUGCAAGAAAUACAUAUAAUAAAUAUAAGCAUAAGAAAUGUCAAUGACAGCAUUUAUUAUAUACCAAUAAAUUUUCUUCCUAAAACACAGGAUUAUCUUGAAGCGCAAAUAGUUUUCAACGGUUAGAAAAUUCUGUAUUAUGUUAGAGACAAAACAGUACCAUAUAUGAAAGGCCUGGACUAUUUUUAUGCUCCCCGAAAAAUUUCGGGUGAGCAUAUAGUCGCCGCCUUGUCCGUCCGUCCAUCCCCUUUUCUUGUCCGGGACUUAACUUUGAAACAACAAGAGGUAUCAACAUGAAACUUUGUAGGUUACGGUAGAUAGAUCUCAUUGAGUAGGUGUGCAGUGCACAAGAACCGUAACUCUGCCUUGCCUAAUUUUUGAAUUAUUCCCCUUUGUUUAUUUUUACACUUUGAACUUUGUCCGGGACAUAACUCUAAAACUAUAAGAGGUAUCAACAUGAAACUUUGUAGGUAGAUAGAUCUAAUUGAGUAAGUGUGCAGUGCACAAGACUGUAACUCUGCCUUGCUUAAUUUUUGAAUUAUUCCCCUUUGUUUAUUUUACACUUUGAACUUUGUCCAGGACAUAACUCUAAAAGUAUAAGAGGUAUCAACAUGAAACUUUGUAGGUAGAUAGAUCUCAUUGAGUUGGUGUGCAGUGUACAAGAACCGUAACUCUGCCUUGCCUAAUUUUUGAAUAAUCCCCCUUUGUUUAUUUUACACUUUGAACUUUGUCCGGGACAUAACUCUAAAACUAUAAGAGGUAUCAACAUGAAACUUUGUAGGUAGAUAGAUCUCAUUGACUUGGUAUGCAGUGCACAAGAACCGUAACUCUGUCUUGCCUAAUUUUUGAAUUAUCCCCCUUUCUUUAUUUUACACUUUGAACUUUGUCUCUAAAACUAUAACAGGUAUCAACAUGAAACUUUGUAGGUAGAUAGAUUUCAUUGAGUUGGUAAGCAGUGAACAAGAACCUUAACUCUCCCUUGCCUAAUUUUUGAAUUAUCCCCCUUUGUUUAUUUUUACACUUUGAACUUUGUCCGAGACAUAACUCUCAAUGUAAAAGAGAUAUCAACAUGAAACUUUGUAGGUAGAUAGAUAUCGUUGAGUAAGUUUGCAGUGCACAAGAACUGUAACACUGUCUUGCCUACUUUUGGAGUUAUUGCCCUUUGAUCAUUUUGACACUUUAAACUCUGUCCAGGACAUUACUCUAAGCAGUGCUUAAGAAUCAUUACUCUGCCUUGCCUUAUUUUGAAGUAAUUGCCCUUUGUUUAUUUUUACUUUUUGACUUUUGUCCGAGACAUAACUUUAAAACUAUUAGAGAUAUCAACAUGAAACUUUGUAGGUAGCUAGAUAUAAUUGGAUAGAACUGCAAUGCUUAAAGAACCUAAAGAAAGCCUGGUCUAAUUUUGGAGUUAUUACCCUAAUUUCAUUUUUACACUUUGAAUUUUACCUUGGACAUAACUCUGAUAUCAUCAGGCAACUUUAUAGAUAGAAAGAUCUAAUUGAAUAGAAGUGCA